rnacentral:rRNA from 1 species
AGUAAUCUGCCGUUGGAGUGGGGAAUAACGGCUGGAAACAGCCGCUAAUACCGCAUGAAACAGUUGGGAGGCAUCUCUCUGACUGUCAAAGAUUUAUCGCUCUGAGAUGAGCUCGCGUCUGAUUAGCUAGUUGGCGGGGCAACGGCCCACCAAGGCGACGAUCAGUAGCCGGACUGAGAGGUUGGCCGGCCCACAUUGGGACUGAGACACGGCCCAGACUCCUACGGAAGGCAGCAG